AUUAUGGUAUGAGCGCCAACUGUAAUCUGAAACGACUGAGAAUAUGCCAUGUAAUCUGCUCCUUUUUAUAUAUCGUUUAUCAAGCAAUAAAAUUGAGUAAUCAAAUAGAGAAGGUUUGAAUAUUCUUUUUAUCUAUUUAAUAAUAAUAAAGUUAAUAGUAGUAGUGCCCUUUCGAGACUGUUUGAUACAGACCUCUUGGCAGACAUUGCAAUUGAGGUAAUGUGGAGAGGGAGUUGCAACAGCUUUUUUUUAUGAGAAACUGUAAACUAAAUAGUACCUUCAAACGAAGGUGUAUCUUUGAACAAAACUGUGUGUUUAGUGUGUAAUUUUAUUAUGUAUGUAAUAUAAAAUUUUGUAAUAAUAAACAUGUAAUAUCAUGUU